AUUUAUAUAGUUUAAUUAAAAACAUUAUAUUUUCAAUAUAAAAUUAAUUUCUUAUUUAUAAAUA
rnacentral:tRNA from 1 species